rnacentral:lncRNA from 1 species
AAUUGAAUAAAUGACAAAGAAUAGCAAAGGUGGGGAGAAAAAUCUGCCACAAAUCCACUCAUAGGCUGUAAGAGUGGAUCCAAAAUCCACUCUAAGGCUGAAAGAGUGGAUCCCCCACCCGAGGACUCUGGCGACGUGAAUACAAUUUAUAUAUGACUUGAAAAAAUUUACAAGCAUGACAUUCACAUACAUGUACACCAAAC